UAGGGAAUCUUCGGCAAUGGACGAAAGUCUGACCGAGCAACGCCGCGUGAGUGAAGAAGGUUUUCGGAUCGUAAAACUCUGUUGUUAGAGAAGAACAAGGACGUUAGUAACUGAACGUCCCCUGACGGUAUCUAACCAGAAAGCGACGGCUAACUACGUGCCAGCAGCCGCGGUAAUACGUAGGUGGCAAGCGUUGUCCGGAUUUAUUGGGCGUAAAGCGAGCGCAGGCGGUUUCUUAAGUCUGAUGUGAAAGCCCCCGGCUCAACCGGGGAGGGUCAUUGGAAACUGGGAGAGUUGAGUGCAGAAGAGGAGAGUGGAAUUCCAUGUGUAGCGGUGAAAUGCGUAGAUAUAUGGAGGAACACCAGUGGCGAAGGCGGCUCUCUGGUCUGUAACUGACGCUGAGGCUCGAAAGCGUGGGGAGCAAACAGG
rnacentral:rRNA from 1 species